AUUAGUGAAAUAGUAAUAAUAUAUAGGCAUUGAUACAAACUAAUCAUUUUCAACACAUCACUACACUAUUGUAACAAAAGAAUACUAUUUAUGAACGGCAUGUAAGAAGUAUGCAAGUACAGUUUUUCUUUUCUUAAAAAAAGGCCUUGGAAUGGGGUGAGGGAGAGAAAAAGGGAAAAAAAAAAAGGCAUUUCUGUCAUUUUCCCAAGGUCAGGGAAUCAUGCAUCAAAAGAAACAUGAAAACUAGAAGAUUCCAAUUGCACUAUUUCAUUAAAGCAGAUCAAAAAGCAUAUAUAUCAGCAUAUCUACAGAAAUUAGAAAAUGGAUGCCCUUAGAAACUUUAGCCCAAGUGACAAAGAAAGGAUAAGGUGAAGGUUGCAGUAGGUCUCAUGCUCAAAUAUUACCAAUCAAAGAAACUUAUUAACCACCAAACAAAAAAAACACAAAUGCUCUUUCUAUAGGAGGCUUAUAUAUAUUGAUGCACUCACAGUCUAGGAAAAUGAUUUAAUUUUUCAUUAUAAAAUUAGGAAAUGUAGGUUUCUAUUAUUUAGGAAAUUAAAUUAGGAUGUAGUAUUUGAAUUAUUUAGUAUUUCUAUUGUUUAGAAUUUCCUUUAUUAGUAUUGGUUUGGUAUUAUUAGUUAGAAUUUGUUUAGUAUGUUAUUACUUGGGAUUCCAAAUCCAUACUAGUACGACUAGUUAUUAUACCAUAAAUUCCCAUGUCAUCUAUGUAUUUUAAUAGAGCUCAUAAAAUUGACAAUUGAUUGAUUUUGAGAAUUAAUAUAAUUUUGAGAAUUGUUUCUCAUACUCUCGAGUGUUCUUUCUUGUUUCUACAUCAUUACCACUAAAAUGAAACCUCAGGAGUGAGAGUGAAAUAGCUUAUGAAGGAUCAUGGACUCUAAACCACAAGUUAAUAUGAGAGCUUUCCAUUCCAUUUUGGAGAUCAAAAUCAAAGAAGCAUAAGCAGGCCUCUUAUCUUUGUUAGGGAAACAUAAGUAUGGGUCAAUGGAUGCUUUGGGUUCUAUAGGAAAUGGAAUCAAAGAUUUUUAUGGUUACAAAGGGGAAAAGGGGACAAUUAGCUAGUUUAUGUUGUACAAAAAGAUAUACACAAUGAAAGCACACAUAUAUAUAACACUCUCACUCCUGAAGUAUCUGAUUGAUAGAUAGAAAUAGAAUAAACAACUAUCAUAUGUGCACGGAACAGCAAAAUCAAAUACUGUAAAAUCAUUGAUUA
rnacentral:misc_RNA from 1 species